ACGCAUUAAGUAUUCCGCCUGGGGAGUACGGUCGCAAGAUUAAAACUCAAAGGAAUUGACGGGGGCCCGCACAAGCAGCGGAGCAUGUGGUUUAAUUCGAAGCAACGCGAAGAACCUUACCUAGACUUGACAUCUCCUGAAUUACUCUUAAUCGAGGAAGUCCCUUCGGGGACAGGAAGACAGGUGGUGCAUGGUUGUCGUCAGCUCGUGUCGUGAGAUGUUGGGUUAAGUCCCGCAACGAGCGCAACCCUUAUUGUUAGUUGCUACCAUUUAGUUGAGCACUCUAGCGAGACUGCCCGGG
rnacentral:rRNA from 1 species